rnacentral:piRNA from 1 species
AGGAUGAUUGGAACUUUGGUUCUUCCUGUU